rnacentral:rRNA from 1 species
UUGAACGCUGGCGGCAGGCCUAACACAUGCAAGUCGAACGGUAACAGAAAGCAGCUUGCUGCUUUGCUGACGAGUGGCGGACGGGUGAGUAAUGUCUGGGAAACUGCCUGAUGGAGGGGGAUAACUACUGGAAACGGUAGCUAAUACCGCAUAACGUCGCAAGACCAAAGAGGGGGACCUUCGGGCCUCUUGCCAUCGGAUGUGCCCAGAUGGGAUUAGCUAGUAGGUGGGGUAAAGGCUCACCUAGGCGACGAUCCCUAGCUGGUCUGAGAGGAUGACCAGCCACACUGGAACUGAGACACGGUCCAGACUCCUACGGGAGGCAGCAGUGGGGAAUAUUGCACAAUGGGCGCAAGCCUGAUGCAGCCAUGCCGCGUGUAUGAAGAAGGCCUUCGGGUUGUAAAGUACUUUCAGCGGGGAGGAAGGGAGUAAAGUUAAUACCUUUGCUCAUUGACGUUACCCGCAGAAGAAGCACCGGCUAACUCCGUG